ACAAAGCAUGCUGAGCUUCCACCAGCUUACUUCCCUGCUAGCAGUUUGCUCAGCAUGGAGCAGAUUCAUCCCUCUUACCGAGGUCACUAAGCUCUGCUGUCACCAUGGUUCUGGAAGUGCUCAGGUCACCUCGCUCCCUGUUGUUCUGACACAAAAGCAACAAGACACCGAAGGCUGCCUUGACAAAAAGAAGCUGAAAUCCUACAAAAGGGCAAAUAGCGCAAAAGGUACCAGCUCUGAAGCACAAGGACGCUGCUGCUUUAUUGGAGAUCAAUUAUUGUCUUGAUAAGAAACAACAUACCAAUCAUCCAAAAUGGAAAUGUGGUAAAUCUUGCAUAAAUCUAUUCCUCCCGAAAUGAGCAUAGAUGAAAAAAAUAUAUGUACAUAUAAAUAUGUAAGUCAAUAAGAGCUGAUAUGAUGCAUUUACCUAGAGUUAAUUUUGACUGU
rnacentral:lncRNA from 7 species